GGAUCAUUACCGAGUUUACACUCCCAAACCCCAUGUGAACCUACCACUACGUUGCUUCGGCGGGAUGCCCCGGGCGCGGGCCGCAAGGCCUCAGCCCCGGAACCAGGCGCCCGCCGGAGGCCCAAACCAAACUCUUGUUUUUAUAGAAUCUUCUGAGUGGCCUUUUAGGCAACAAAUGAAUCAAAACUUUCAACAACGGAUCUCUUGGUUCUGGCAUCGAUGAAGAACGCASCGAAAUGCGAUAAGUAAUGUGAAUUGCAKAAUUCAGUGAAUCAUCGAAUCUUUGAACGCACAUUGCGCCCGCCAGCAUUCUGGCGGGCAUGCCUGUUCGAGCGUCAUUUCAACCCUCAAGCCCCCCCGGGGGCCUGGUGUUGGGGACCGGCACCGCCCCGUCGCGGGUCGCCGCCCCCUAAAUUCAGUGGCGGUCCUGCCGCAGCCUCCUCUGCGUAGUAGCUUUUGAAACCUCGCACCGGAGAGCGGCUCGGCCACGCCGUUAAACCCCAACUUUCUAGAGUUUGACCUCGGAUCAGGUAGGAAUACCCGCUGAACUUAAGCAUAUCAAUAAGCGGAGGAAAAGAAACCAACAGGGAUUGCCCCAAGUAACGGCGAGUGAAGCGGCAACAGCUCAAAUUUGAAAUCUGGCCCCUCGGGCCCGAGUUGUAAUUUGCAGAGGAUGCUUUUGGUGAGGCGCCGCCUGAGUUCCCUGGAACGGGACGCCAUAGAGGGUGAGAGCCCCGUCUGGCUGGCCGCCGAGCCUCUGUAAAGCUCCUUCGACGAGUCGAGUAGUUUGGGAAUGCUGCUCUAAAUGGGAGGUAUAUGUCUUCUAAAGCUAAAUAUUGGCCAGAGACCGAUAGCGCACAAGUAGAGUGAUCGAAAGAUGAAAAGCACUUUGAAAAGAGGGUUAAAUAGUACGUGAAAUUGUUGAAAGGGAAGCGCUCAUGACCAGACUUGGGCCUGGCGAAUCAUCCGGCGUUCUCGCCGGUGCACUUCGCCAGGCUCAGGCCAGCAUCAGUUCGCCGCGGGGGAUAAAGGUUUUGGGAACGUGGCUCCUCCGGGAGUGUUAUAGCCCGUUGCGUAAUACCCUGCGGUGGACUGAGGU
rnacentral:rRNA from 1 species